CUCCUACGGGAGGCAGCAGUGGGGAAUCUUGCACAAUGGACGAAAGUCUGAUGCAGCAACGCCGCGUGGGGGAUGAAGCUCUUCGGAGUGUAAACCCUUUCGACCCGGAAGAAUGCCGCAAGGGUUUGACGGUACGGGUAUAAGAAGCCCGGCUAACUACGUGCCAGCAGCCGCGGUAAUAC
rnacentral:rRNA from 1 species